rnacentral:rRNA from 1 species
GACGAACGCUUUCUUCCUUCCUAACACCUGCAAGUCGAACGAGACCUUCGGGUCUAGGGGCGCACGGGGGCGUAACGCGUGGGAACCUGCCCUUAGGUUCGGAAUAACUCCCCGAAAGGGGUGCUAAUGCCGGAUAAGGUCUUCGGACCAAAGAUUUAUCGCCUUUGGAUGGGCCCGCGUGGGAUUAGCUAGUUGGUAGGGUAAUAGCAGACCAAGGCGACGAUCCAUAGCUGGUCUGAGAGGAUGAUCAGCCACACUGGGACUGAGACACGGCCCAGAAUCCUACGGGAGGGAGCAGAGGGUAAUAUUGGACAAUGGGGGAAAGCCUGAUACAGCAAUGCCGCGUAAGUGAUGAAGGCCUUAGGGUAGUAAAGCUCUUUUACCCGGGAUGAUAAUGACGGUACCGGGUGAAUAAGCAACGGCUAACUCCGUG